rnacentral:siRNA from 1 species
UAGAGUGCUCAAAGCAAGCC